UUGGAAGGUAUUCUAACCUGAGCGGGAGGUCGACCGACCUUUGGGUCAUCCUUGGUUGGAUUUGGGAAGCCUUUAGAGACUUAAUUGAAGCAGCUUUGGGGCUUCGUUGUGCCGUUUGUGAGACUUCUUGGACUUGUUUGGAGCCUUGAUCUAGGUGGGUCGGACCUAACCAGAGCAAGUGAAGCUCCUCUAUGUUCUAUAUGUAUUAUAGAAAUGUGUUAGUUGUGUGCUUAUGGGAUAGCUAUAGAACUUGAGAAUUCGUCAUCAUAACAUUUACUAUAUUGACAUAGAAUCUCUAUGAAGUAGAGAAUCCUCACGCCUAAAUGUAUUCAUAUUCCUGUUUGGUUUAGUUGAAUAACACUGAGACACGUUAUUAUGCUUAUGAAACGUAGAGAACCAUGACAUUCUCUUUUUACUUGCUUGAUUACAAGUAGAGAACAAUGACAUUCUCUUGACUCUGAAGUAGAGAACUAUGACAUGCUUAUGCCUAUGUUGAUAGUGCCAUGAUAGUGAAAGAUUCUAAUGCCAUAUGUAAAUUAGCAUUACUUCUGCAUGCUUGCUUACUAAACGAGUGGAUUCUAGUGGUUGUUAAUGUUUGUUAUACUGAAAUGUCGAUCCAAGGAUCGAGAAUGAGAACAUUGCAAAUGAAAUUAUGAUAAUUGAGGCAUGUGAACUGUGGAACACGCUUGCUUGCCAUCGUGCUCAUUCGCACACGCUUGUGAGGGUCGCUCCCUACAAGC